AAUCAACGCUGGCGGCGUGCCUCAGACAUGCAAGUCGAACGCGAAAGUUCCCUUCGGGGAGCAAGUAGAGUGGCGCACGGGUGAGUAACACGUAGGUAAUUUGCCUUCGGGUGGGGAAGUAACAGUCGGAAACGACUGCUAAUACCGCAUAAUGCAGCGGCUCGACAUCGAGACAGUUGUUAAAGACGGGGGAGUCCUUCGGGACCGUCGCGCCUGAAGAGAAGCCUGCGGCAGAUUAGCUAGUUGGUGAGGUAAUGGCCCACCAAGGCUACGAUCUGUAACCGGCCUGAGAGGGCGGGUCGGUCACACUGACACUGACAUACGGGUCAGACUCCUACGGGAGGCAGCAGU
rnacentral:rRNA from 1 species